rnacentral:lncRNA from 1 species
UUCCACAUUCACCAGAAUCCUGGAGCUGCUCCAAUGCUGUUACGACCUCGUUCAUUCUCGGUCUGAAUUUGGCUUCAGCAGACAAGCAUCGCAAAGCAAGGGUUGCGGCCUUGAAGGCAGCUUCCAUUGAAUACUGGCGUUCAAGACGGUUAUCUAGGACACGGAAUAUUUUGCGUUUGUUGGCCAGGUAUGGUUUGGCCCAUUCCACCAGGUUGUGUUCUCCGGAUGGUCGAUUCUUGUCAACUGCUCUGCGCCCAGAUAACAUCUCCAGCAGCACAACUCCGAAACUAUAGACAUCACUCCUAGCAGUCAAAUGACCU